rnacentral:rRNA from 1 species
AAUGAACGUUGGCGGCAUGGAUUAGGCAUGCAAGUCGAGCGAGAAGCUUGCUUCGGCAAGUGGACAGCGGCGAAAGGGACAGUAAUGUGUAGGCACCUACCCCUGGGUCCGGGAUAGCUGCGGGAAACCGCAGGUAAUACCGGAUGAUGUCUCCGGAUCAAAGGUGUGAUUCCGCCCUCGGAGGGGCCUACAUCCUAUUAGCUUGUUGGUGAGGUAACGGCUCACCAAGGCGACGAUGGGUAACGGGUGUGAGAGCAUGACCCGUGUCAUUGGGACUGAGACACUGCCCAGACACCUACGGGUGGCUGCAGUCGAGAAUCUUCGGCAAUGGGCGAAAGCCUGACCGAGCGAUGCCGCGUGCGGGAUGAAGGCCCUCGGGUUGUAAACCGCUGUCAACGAGGAGGAAGUGCAAGGGGGUUCUCCCUCUUGUUUGACCUAUUCGAGGAGGAAGUACGGGCUAAGUUCGUGCCAGCCGCCGCGGUAACAC